CAAACGCCCACACGUAUGGGCGUUAGUUUUUCCGAAAAAAAACUUUUAAUUCGGUUGGCAUAUUUCCAACAAUUAAAAAAAACUGAUCAGGAUACAAUCUCCUUUUAAUUACAGCAAUCAGAGAUACAAUCUCAACAGAAUCAAACUCUCACGGCCGUGUCCCAAUCAAAAAAACUCUCACGGUCGGUAGUAGAGAUACAAUCUGUCUACAAAUAGAACAAAACUCUCACGAUCCAAACAACCUCUCUUUCCAUCAUGCACAUGUGAAUCAACUCGCCCCUUAAAAUACCUUGACUUUGCAAACCACUCAUUGUCCUGUUGACUUCAGAUUACCCAGCAUAUCGUCUUCCUCGGGUGAACAACACUUCGACAUUGGCUUCCUCCAGCGGCAACCAUCUCUCAAGUGGCUCAUUCUCCUCUUGAAUCUCCUCGACUGUAAUCGGCUCAGUCGAGCGAUCAAACCACCUCUAUCAACUGCACAUAUGUUACUCAUGCCGAUCAAUCACACUCCGGGAAUUGUUCAACUGCACAUAUGUUACUCAUGUCGAUUAUGUUGAAACAGAAAAAUCUAUGAUGUUAUUCUAAAUUAAUUAUUGCAAAUCUAUGGUGGCACGUUCAUACUAUUACUCAUCUAGAGAAGGCUUAUGCGAUGGAUGUUGAUUCCAGUGUAUUCACAUUAAGAUAAUACACUCUAGAGGACUGUUCUUCAAAACCACUCUAGGAGACUAGAACUAUGCUACAAGUUUAACUGAAACAAAUGUGAUCACUUGCUGCGAUAUAGAGAAAUAUAUACGGUGCAUCAGAAGGUUUUGAAAUUUGAUGAACCUCAAAUUCUAUGGUGGCUCCAGUUGAAUAUUUUAGCAAAUAUGGUGAAUGAAGAUCUUUAGCACAAACAAAUCAUAGUAACUGUCACUUCAAAUUUGGUCAGGAAAUUCAAUGGUAAGAAAUUUAAUCUCCUUGUGUAAACGCAAAUCCAAAUUUACUAACCAUUUAGUACUGGGACUAUCACUAUGCAUAACAAAUGCAUAUAAAGUCAUCCUGGACAUUGAAAUUCUGAAGACACCAAAUUAAUGAGAGGUAUGGUAUAAAAUAAUGCAAUUAUAUACUCACUAAUGAAAUGUAAGACAUUUUUUGAUGUAGUUGGCGACAAAAAACAUCCUUCAUUUUGUUACAGAGGGAGUAUGUUUCUAAAGUUAAAAGUUUAUGUGAUCAAGUUGUAAACCUAUUAUAGGCAUUGUGAAACAGAUGUUAUCCCAACAAUGAUGGGAGUCAACGGAAACACCAAUGGAAUGAUUGAAGAGCAAAUGUUCUACAACAGAAAAACAUUGAACGGAACUAUAAAACUAUGAUAGAGUGAUGUUAAAAGAAAGGUAUGCAUGUAACCUUGAUCAUCAUACCAUACCUUCUCUAUUGUAUAGUAUCUAAUCUCAUAUCUUUUCUCUUGAACUGUAUUAAGAAUUUGUAUGCACAACAAAAGCAACAAUUGAUGACAUUAUAAUGGAUAAAGGUUGGUGGUACCAGAAGUGGUGUCAUGUGGUAUUGUAGUGCUGCUUCUACACAUAGAUGGAACGUCGCACUCGAGGUUCCCCAUCCACCUAAUCCUUAUAGAAGAGUCGGCCUAUCACAUCAAACAUGGUUCACACUUGACAUACCUACUAAAAAAGACGUUGCUAAUACUAUGGGACGAGUCUCCAAUGGCAAACAAGAUAUAUUUUGAGGCGCUAGACAUGACUCUUAGGGAUAUAUUAAGAAAUUAAAAAGUGAAUAACAGAGAGAGACCGUUCGGGGGCAUGACAGGGGUUCUAGGAGGGGACUUCCGCCAGAUCCUUCUUGUUAUACCAAAGGGAAGAAGGCACAACAUAGUCACUACAUCCAUUAAAAGGUCAUAUCUUUGGAGGGACAUUAAUAUAAUGAAACUAACAAAGAGCAUGCGACUCAACUGCACAACACAUCAUGAAUCAGAGAAACAAAGGGUAUCAAAAUUUGCAUAGUGGAUUCUGAAUAUUAGUGCUGGAAAAAAUACAACGUCACAAGGUUGGGAGAUGGUAAAAAUACAAAGUGGCAUACUACUCAAGAAAGGAAAUGAUAAAAAUAAUAAUUGUGGAAAGCAUAUCCAAAUUUGCAAUAGUGGUAGUAUCGCAAGCGGUAUUUCUUAGAAGAGCAAUAUUAUGUCCAAGGAACGAAACAGUUCGCGAUAUAAAUGAGUAUAUAAUGGAUCAACUACAAUGUGAAGACAAAACUUAUUUAAACUGCAACCCAGUAUGCAAAGCAACAACCAUCAAUACAGAGACGAAAAUGCUAUAUCCAGCACAAUUACUGAAUAGAUUAUUGUUUCCCGUAAUCCUAAAUCACAAGCUCAAAUUAAAAGUUGGAAUACCUGUGAUGCUCCUGCGUAAUAUCAACCAAAGUGAUGGAUUAUGCAAUUGUGCAAGGAUGACAAUUUCAACUUAUAAAAAAUUCAUCAAAGCACAAAUAAUAACAGGAACACAUGUAGGAUAUAUGGUAUAUAUAUUCCAAGAAUAGUCAUGUCACCAACCGAAUCUGCAUGGCCGUUCGUUCUAGAAAGGAGACAAUAUCUAUAUCGGUUUGCUUUGCUAUGACUAUCAACAAAGGGGAGGGGCAAUCUCUAAACAAGGUAGAACUACAUCUAUCUAAACAAGUUUUCACACAUGGACAACUAUAUGUAGCCUUCUCAAGAGUCACAAAAAGGGAUGGACUGCAAGUAAUGGUAAAUGAUGAAGAUAGCAAUUAGGAUGAUGUGGUCAAGAACAUACUCCCUCCGUUCCAUAUUGUCGUUGAUUUAGUACAAAUAUUCUAAAGGUAUGAACAAAUAACACACUUUCAGCAUGACACUUCUUUCACUAGCUGAGGAGACUAGCCUAUUACGUAAGAAUUGCAUAUAUAGAAAUUUAGUACAUUGUAAACUAUCCCGAAAAAGGCAAAUUGACUUCACUAUCUGCUUUUGCAUGCUUAUUAUUUAGAGCAAACCAAUAGUGGGAGCAUCGGGACAUUGUAGAAUGCAAUCAGACCUGUUUUCAUAUCAGUUACCAUAUCUUCAUUUGUCUUUUAAAAAUAUUUAAACUAUUGCUAAUCACAAAUGCUCUAAUUUAUUCUUAAGUUUGUUGAACAAUAAUAUGGGUAGGGGGCCUAACACUACCAACACCAGUCCCAAGCCCGGAAAAAGUGGAGGGAGCAUAAAAAAAUUAAAACUACGCCUUAAUAUGUAUUUGGCAUUCAAGACUUACUAUCAUCAUUUAGUGCCUUCACCUUAAGUCAAUCCAAGUGAAUUCCAAGAGCAGCCAGUAGAUAAGAUGAUAAAAUGGAUAUAAAAUAGUAUAUAAAUACACUCUAAACUCAUAGUCAAUUUAAUAAAGUAAAUAAAUCAAUAAAAAAUUUAUGUCAAUCUUCCACAACAUUAGCAAAUUUUGCUACUUUUUUGGCAGCCAAGCAAAUUCACUCAGACAUGUACUUACAUUUUUAAAAUUUCACAAACUUAUUAGUACCUAACUCAUUCAACACUUAUAGAGCACUUACAAACAAAAAUCACAAGUUUCACUAAGUUUUAAAGGAAAAUGAAGAAAAAAUUUCCACUACAAGACAUUUCCUAAAUUACAUUAUAAAUAUGACCGAGUCGGGAAAAGGAAAAGGGGGACCUGCAGCUCAAAGUUUGAACUUCCAAGAAUGUUGACGCAGUGGAGGAUGACGACGACUUGCUGGGUAGCAUCGAGCGGGAAUAGCCACGAUGCAUCCGCCUCGCACUUGGGGAAGACUUGCUUCCAUCCUCAUAAUCGAGCUGGAUCCAAGAUAGUAGCGAGAGACAGAAUCCACGCCCAAAUAAACUACACGGACACUGAUAGGGACGGCACCGUGUAGAUCGAUGAUCUCGCCUGCUCCCUUGCGCAUCUGCUCCUUCGACCUAGGGAGACCGAGGAGUUGUACGAGGAGCUAAACCAGCUGCUGUAGAUGGUCACCUGCGGCGUCAUAAACGAGUCGAGCUGCUGUCGUGGCUGAUGGUGAGGAUGACCAAGCUCAUCCGGUGGCAGCAAUUUUGGAGUCAACGGGUGAAAGGAGAAAGGGGAUCGGGAC
rnacentral:lncRNA from 1 species